GACGAACGCUGGCGGCGUGCUUAACACAUGCAAGUCGAACGGUGAAGCGCUUGCCUUUUUGGUGGGUGUGGAUGAGUGGCGAACGGGUGAGUAACACGUGAGUAACCUGCCCUCUUCUUCUGGAUAACCUCAUGAAAGUGGGGCUAAUACGGGGUAUUCCGGGUCUGUCGCAUGGCGGGUUUGGGAAAGAUUGCGCCUUUGGGUGUUUUCGGUGGGGGAUGGGCUCGCGGCCUAUCAGCUUGUUGGUGGGGUGAUGGCCUACCAAGGCGGUGACGGGUAGCCGGCCUGAGAGGGUGGACGGCCACACUGGGACUGAGACACGGCCCAGAGUCCUGCGGGAGGCAGCAGUGGGGAAUAUUGCACAAUGGGCGCAAGCCUGAUGCAGCGACGCCGCGUGAGGGAUGGAGGCCUUCGGGUUGUGAACCUCUUUCGCCAGUGAAGCAGGCCUGCUCCUGUGUGGGUGGGUUGACGGUAGCUGGAUAAGAAGCGCCGGCUAACUACGUG
rnacentral:rRNA from 1 species